UGGGGAAUCUUGCACAAUGGGGGAAACCCUGAUGCAGCGACGCCGCGUGAGCGAUGAAGCCUUUCGGGGUGUAAAGCUCUUUCGACGGGAACGAUAAUGACGGUACCCGAAGAAGAAGCUGCGGCUAACUACGUGCCAGCAGCCGCGGUAAUACGUAGGCAGCAAGCGUUGUUCGGAUUUACUGGGCGUAAAGAGUACGUAGGCGGUGCUCCAAGUCUGGUGUGAAAUCUCCCGGCUCAACUGGGAGGGUGCGCCGGAUACUGGAGUGCUUGAGGGUGGGAGAGGUAAGCGGAAUUCCUGGUGUAGCGGUGAAAUGCGUAGAUAUCAGGAGGAACACCUGUGGUGUAGACAGCUUACUGGACCACUUCUGACGCUGAGGUACGAAAGCGUGGGUAGCAAACAGGAUUAGAUACCCUGGUAGUCCACGCCCUAAACGAUGCAUACUUGGUGUGGGCUCUUCAUUGAGUCUGUGCCGGAGCUAACGCGUUAAG
rnacentral:rRNA from 1 species